UCACAGUUUGCACUGGCAGUCUCGUUAGAGUUCCCGACAUGACUCGCUGGCAACUAACAACAGGGGUUGCGCUCGUUAUAGGACUUAACCUGACACCUCACGGCACGAGCUGACGACAACCAUGCAGCACCUUGUAAAUUGUCCGAAGAAAAGUCUGUUUCCAAACCUGUCAAUCUACAUUUAAGCCUUGGUAAGGUUCCUCGCGUAUCAUCGAAUUAAACCACAUGCUCCACCGCUUGUGCGGGCCCCCGUCAAUUCAUUUGAGUUUUAACCUUGCGGCCGUACUCCCCAGGCGGUCAACUUAAUGCGUUAGCUGCGCCACCCAAGCACUAAGUGCCCGGACAGCUAGUUAUCAUCGUUUACGGCGUGGACUAC
rnacentral:misc_RNA from 1 species